CUUCUAGCAGACACAAUAAACCAUUAGUCAAGGCAAAAGGUAGAAGAGGAUCUGAUACAGAUUUAGCAGAAGGAAACAGCAAAUGGCAUUAGUAGGCACCUGUGGAUACAGACCUGAAAAAUCAAGACAUUUUAAUGAAGAAACUAGGGAGUGCCAGUGUCAUCCAGAGAAACUUCUGCAUCCCUCACGUUUAUGUCACAGUGACCAUUCCCCGUAUCCAAGGAGGGACGACUUCAACCUCUGGGGUCAGUCAAUACCAUUUCCAAAAUGGAAGCUGCUACAGAUCAACACAGGGAUUUUUCCUCCCCAGGUGCCAAGCUUACUGAAACAGCCUGUGCCAGAGAAUCUCUCUCAGAAGUGGAAGUUUGUGUGAUGGGAGGAAAUGCCUGAAAGGUACCAGAAGCACUUAGCAAAGCAGGAGAGGAAGGAAGAGGUCUCUGACUGCUGUACAACUGACCUUGGCUCUACCUGUGGUGUCCUAAGAGAAAGAGAAAAAUACAAAAGCUAAUGGAGGUAAUUUGUCAAUAUGCAGCCAUCAGCUUGAGCUGUAGGAAGACCAUAUUCAUCAUGAGUACACAUAGCCAAUAGGGCUCUGAAAGGUAUGCCUUCUGCAUUAAAAUGUCUUUACUUGGUUGAUUUUAGUAUCUACCAGUUCCCUAAAGUGCACGGGGGCCAGGUUCAUCCCCUGGGCCAACCUUCACUGGAUGUGGCUUUCACCCCGGGAAGGGCAGAUGUCAGUACAACUGUCAUCCUCCCUUGGGUAUUCUGCCUGAGGGGGCAGCUUUAAAAUCCAAACACGGCACCACUGGAAGGUACCUGGAUGAGAUGAUUUUUUCAAGCUGACCAACCCUCAACACCUGCUGAGUCGGCUCUUCCUACUUUUGGAUCUGCAGGAGCUGUUACCAAGCCUCUUGAUAUAUCAGGAUUACAGGUGGCUUGCAUCACUCUGUCCCUAACUUGGUAAGCUUUCUGCGGGUGUAAGUGAAUUUGGAUCUCUACAUUUUUCAGAUCCAAUGGAAUACAAAACGUUCUCUUUUCUUACUGAUUACUACCAAAUGCAAGGGUGAAACCGACCAUCUUAUAUUCAACUAGACAGAAACUACAACCAAAAUGGAAUUAUUUCAUAACCAUGGACAUUUUCUGAAGGUUAAAUCUUCAGCUGUGUAGUCCUUUGCACCAGAUUAUUUUAAAAACUGUAAUAAUAAUAAUUGUACCUUUGUAGAUAUGAUGCUGUAAUUGGCUAUAGCUCAAAAUAGGUCUAAACCAAUUGGGACAAGGCAAAUCAAUAAUGCUACAGUGAGUAACUGUCACUCUGUUGCACCAACAUCCAUCAGAUAAAACACUUAAUUGUACAUCAGUCAAUUGAUAAAAGGGAAAUAGAGUCAUUGUUAGUACAGAACCACUGGAUCAAUACCUCCUGUUUCAAACACGAACAUCUCUGCCUGGCUCUGACAUUAAUUACCCAUAAAUUUCUCAGCAUUGAUGUAUUAGCAAGAGACCAUUAUCCUGUGACAGGAUUUUUGUAUCAUUGGCAUUCGCUUUUAACCCUUAUACUGCUGACCAUACCUCUCCCAAAGUUAGGUCUGAUCUACACUCCAAAGUUAGGUGGAUGUAAGUAGCCUUGUGCUUUGACCUACUUGUGCGUGUGUUUAUACUUCAGUUUGUCUCAUACUGAUGUAAUGCCAUUCUACAGCGAUGCACCACCUCCCUGAGUGGCGCUGAGCCAUGGUCGACGUACGGAGGCCAAUUCAGCGUGAGUGUAGACACUGCAUUACUUAUGUCAACCCUAAGAGCCCUCCAAUAGCUGUUCCACAGUGCCUCAAACACAUGAAUCCAGAGUUGAUCCUAGGCAUGUGCCCAAUACAUCAUUAAAAAAUGCCCUGCAUGUUUUAUCUGCAGCUGCUGCUGUUAAGCCCUUAAGUGUUCCCCCUCCUAACCCAUAGAAUGCCUAAGCCAGGUAAGGAGGAGAAAGAAGAGAGCUCGGAUGACAUGUUCAUUGAGAUCUUGCAAGCAAGUGGUGCACUAGACCACAAGCAAAGGGUCUGGAGGGUGAAAAUUGCAGAGAACCUGGAAGAGGAAAGAGCAGACAGGAAAAAGACCCAGGAGUCCCAGCAGCAAAAGGAAAGGGAGUUUCACCAGGACAUAAUUGGGCUUCUCUGGCAGCAAACAGAUACUGCAGACUUUUGUGGACCUACAAGUUCAACAAUCAUGGGCUCACCUCCCUUUGCAAUCUAUGGAAAACUCCAAUACAGCACCUCCCUAUGCCCCCCUAAACAUUCAACAUGGCAUCAGGUGCCACACCUUUAUCCCUACCACUCCACACUGGGGAGGGGAGGAAUAUUAAUGACAACCACAUCUUCAUAUACACUGACUUUUGAGAGCCACAGUUGCUGUAAGUGUAGGUAAAAUGGACAUGUUCUUUCUUCUUGUAUUCCAUUAAUUUAUUCAGUUUUUAAUGUAUUUGCUUUUA